rnacentral:precursor_RNA from 8 species
CGGUUUGUCAUCUCGAAGAUAAAGUUCCACCGAGGGUUAAAUGUUUUGGUAUUUUAAUAGUGUCAAUCUCAAAGCAGAGAACUCUCGGUGGAGAUGUAUUUAUAAAUCUCAAACCCAAC